rnacentral:rRNA from 1 species
AAGGCCUGUCAAAUCUUUCGAUAGCUUGAUUUGUAAGAAAAAUAUUAAGUAUAUAAUCAAUUUAAAAAUGCUAAGGUUUUUAAAUGGUAUUAUAUUACACAUAUAAUUGGCAUACUAUUUAACUAUAUAUGCUUCUUAAUAAUAAUAAUUACAUUGUGGUAUAAUAUACUAACUAUUACAAUGUGGCAUUUAAUUUGACAAGCUAUUAAUAAUGUUAUUAUUAGUAUUAUAAUAGAUUUUGUUAAGGAACUCGGCAAAAAUAUUAUUCAACUGUUUAUCAAAAACAUUGCCUUUUGUAAGUAUUUAAGGUUAGCCCUGCUCAAUGGUAAACUAAAUAGCCGCAGUACUUUGACUGUGCAAAGGUAGCAUAAUCAUUUGGCUUAUAAUUGAAGUCUGGUAUGAAUGGGUAACUGGAUAGUAACUAUCUUUCCAUAAUGAAUUGAAUUUACUUAUUAAGUGAAAAUUCUUAAAUAGAAAUAAUAGACGAGAAGACCCUAGAAAUUUUUUAUAUAUAUGUUAAGAUAUUUUAUUUUGUUGGGGCGACAGGGUAACAAUAAACCUACCUAAGACUAUAGGAAUUUAUUUAAAGGUGUAACUAAAUUACUCUAGGGAUAACAGCAUAAUGCAUAAGAGUUUGUGACCUCGAUGUUGGACUAGGUAAGUUAGUAUUUAGAAGAUACUAACUUAAGCUCUGUUCGAGCUAUUACACCUACAUGAUCUGAGUUCAGACCGG